rnacentral:lncRNA from 1 species
GGGGACUUAGACUUUCCCCCUGACACCCCUCCAGGAGAAUGGGCAAUACCCUGCUCCACUUGUUCAGCACCUUGGGUCUGCUCCACAAUAGCUAGGGAGGCUUCCCUCACGACCUCUGAGGAGGCUGGAGCAGAUCUAGACCCUUCAGCAGGCUUCGAAGUUGAGCUCGAUCCACCCCGGCUAGACAGCCGAUAUGACUUGGUGCUGCGAGAGCUCGGCUUCGAAGCUCUGGAAGAAGCUUUGGCGGGAGGUCG